GCGGUGUGUGUGUGUGAGGGGUGCGGUGUGUGUGAUGUGUGUGAGAGUGCCGUGUGUGAGUGAUGGGUGUGUGAGUGAUGGGUGUGAGAGUGCUGUGUGAGAGUGCUGUGUGAGAUGGGUGUGAGAGAGUGCUGUGUGAGAGAGUGCUGUGAGUGUGAUGGGUGUGAGAGUGCUGUGUGAGAGAGUGCUGUGAGUGUGAUGGGUGUGAGAGUGCUGUGUGAGAGAGUGCUGUGUGUGUGUGAGAG